GACGAACGCUGGCGGCGUGCUUAACACAUGCAAGUCGAACGGUGAAGGGGCCUGCUUUUGUGGGCCCUGGAUGAGUGGCGAACGGGUGAGUAACACGUGAGUAACCUGCCCCCUUCUUCUGGAUAACCGCAUGAAAGUGUGGCUAAUACGGGAUAUUCUGGGUCUAUCGCAUGAUGGGUCUGGGAAAGAUUGCGCCUUUGGGUGUUUUUGGUGGGGGAUGGGCUCGCGGCCUAUCAGCUUGUUGGUGGGGUGAUGGCCUACCAAGGCGGUGACGGGUAGCCGGCCUGAGAGGGUGGACGGUCACACUGGGACUGAGACACGGCCCAGACUCCUACGGGAGGCAGCAGUGGGGAAUAUUGCACAAUGGGCGCAAGCCUGAUGCAGCGACGCCGCGUGAGGGAUGGAGGCCUUCGGGUUGUAAACCUCUUUCGCCAGUGAAGCAGGCCUGCUCCUUGUGGGUGGGUUGACGGUAGCUGGAUAAGAAGCGCCGGCUAACUACGUG
rnacentral:rRNA from 1 species